UUUUCUUUUACAUUUUCUUAUAGUUUUUAAAUGCUUCUUAUGAAUGUGAAUUCUUAAACUUAUAACGUUGAAAUUUCUUAAACAAAUCAUUUAGAUAAAUGAGGUGUUAAAUGUUACGAUAGUGCAUGAUUUGUACAAUUGUAAAGACAAUAAUCAUAACUUACUAUUUAUUGUGAUGUGAAGAAUACAAGAACGCAGGAUUUACGUACUGUGGUUAACGCGGUAAUGCCUAUCGUUACUCGUCAGCUUAAAGAGUGGGGGAAUUGCACAGGAAAGUGGGGAUAACCGCACGUGAAUGUUGAAAUGGUGGGAGAAGCAUUGCACGUUGCGUGUUCGAAUGGAGGGGGCACUGUAACAGACACAGUGGAAUCACUUGAUGGUCGGCAAUGUAUACCGCGUUAUCGUUCCAAGUGUCUCGCUGCUACUUUUUAAAGUGUUAGCACAAUUUUUCUUACUUUUUCAUUUAAUAAUCACAUUAUUUCAAAUAUAUAAAUAUAAAUAUAAAUAUACAUUCGUUCGAAAUAUUCCUAUCGUGAAAGGGACGAUCGAUGGUUCUAGACAAAAAUAUAAAAUAGAUCUAACUAAAUAAAUAAAAAGUUACAAUAACAUUCAAUACUUUUUUCUUGCAAGAUCGAAGUAAAUUUACAAGGUUUAUAUUUGUAUUAUCAUGAUUUUGAGUGUCGUCUGUAACACGUGUUCACGAGAACAUGAGUCUCUCGUCGUUAACAGUUCGCACAUUUGAAUCUUAUUUUACACUAAAAAUAUUUCUUUUGUCGUGGUCAUUGAUCUUUCCGUUUACACUUCCGUUGUUAUUAAUCGUGACUCGAUUUAUCAUGACCAUUGGCCGAUAACGCUUAAGUAUCACCAUUUAAUUAUUACAAACGAUUUGUAAUCAUUGCACGGUCAGUGUUAACCACAGAUCGAACGAUUUGCAUCCGUAUCAUCGAAAGAAAUGUAUGGGACCGAUCGAAUGUAUAUCGUGUUAUAAAUGCAUAAAUCUUUCGAUGCGUUGGAAUGCGAUAAACAUUGUUGUUCGAGUGUUGUGAGUGGACACUGGGAGGUAACACCUCGGUGUCGUCCUCCCUCGAGAAAAGAACGAAGAGUGGUACUACCUUUCGAAGAUGGAGAGUCGUGUUCUCGGUGGGCCCACAGCAGAAGAGACAGCAGUGGCGGUAACUACAACGUGCAACAUCGGGACACCCUCUCCAGUACCAACGACACCAAUAAACGCAGUUCCUGGUGUUGGUGGUGCUAGUGCUCUGACUUCGACCACUUGUACUAUUCAGAAUCCCGUGGUUGUUGUAGCAAGCCCACCGACUAAACACCAACAAUCCGCUACUGUACUAUCCACUGCACCCGCUAUCCCUACUAUCCCUACUGUCCCUACUGCGGUGUCCACUGUUACUGCUGUUACCGCUACUGUACCCAAGAUACUUAGCAGAAAUGUCAACGGCACGUUGGUACAGACGUCCGUGCCUCAGAAUGAAGCAGAAUUGCAAUUGUACAGAGUGAUGCAACGUGCUUCUUUGCUGAGCUACUAUGAUACUCUUCUGGAAAUGGGUGGUGAUGACGUGCAGCAAUUAUGUGAUGCUGGAGAAGAAGAAUUUCUAGAAAUUAUGGCACUAGUUGGUAUGGCCAGCAAACCUCUUCAUGUCCGGAGACUUCAAAAAGCUCUUCAGGAAUGGCUCACGAAUCCUUCACUUUUUCAAACGCCAGUUGUUCCAACAAGUGCUACGUGUAAAAAUCCUGCAAGCAUAGGAUUCCCCUGUGCAAGUCCCAGACCGCAGGUACAAAAUCUUCAAGGUUUCACGACAACGUCGCAAACAAUAACUCCUACGCCUUACGUAUCGUCGCACGUAUCGUUAACACCAUUGCCAUGCAGAAGUACCAGCCCUAUUGUAUCUGUGACGAGUGUAACAGCACCAGUCGCAUCUACAACUUUUCGACAGAGUCCAAGCCCUAAUACGCCUUUACCUUAUGCAACAUCUCACAGUCCUGGUGUAUUACAAGUGGGUACAUGUGAAUCAUCUUGUGGUAGUGGCACUACACCAAGUCCUAGCGGCGGCGGUGGUGCACCUGCGAGUCCAACUCAGCCAACUCCAACACUUUUGCAAUCACAAAUACAAAGACUUGCUGAAGCAGCUGAAAGACUUGCCGCUACUAUUCGACCUGUUGAUCCAAAACCACAUAAUGUUAAGAAAAAAAUUUGCAAAAAUUUAGAGAUAGUAAUGGCUAUGCCUGAUAGUGAUCCACGUAGAAUGGAGGAAAUUAGGAAAUAUGCAGCAAUUUACGGAAGAUUUGACUGUAAGAGGAAACCGGAGAAACCAUUGACAUUACAUGAAGUGUCAGUAAAUGAAGCUGCUGCACAAAUUUGCAGGUUCGUACCUGCCCUUCUUACUAGAAGAGAUGAACUGUUUCCUUUGGCCCGCCGUGUUGUGAGAGAUUCUGGGUAUCAUUAUUCAAAAAGUCAUUAUUUAUCCGUAUCGAGGUCACGUGAAAAUGGCGAAGAAAACGAAACUGAGCGUACAAAACGGCAAAAGCUUGAGCUUGAGGGUGAGAAUGAAGAUGCGACGCAGGUUAGCUCACCUCGACCAUAAAAAUAAGCCGUAUGCAAAUGACUCAGUUUAAAAUUAUCACCAGCUCAGGAUGAAAUCAGGGACUUCGACUUGUGAUUGUUUUGACCCGGGAUCGUUGGCAUAUUAAUGAGCUGCUGCACUCGCUUGAACGCUAACCACUAACCAUGCAUCCAGCACGUAAACUACCACUGCGUUGAUAUAUACGCGAAGCAUCGGCACAAAAGGUCAAGUAUAGCUUUCGCAUAAUAUGCGCAUGGCUUUGCACUAACUGUUUGUAUACAAAUUUCCGAUUAAUACUUAAUGUUCUACACAAAUAUUUUGAAUAGUCUAUAGGUUUCUCAAAAUCAUUUGAAGUAAUUUUCUUUAAAUAGCUGUUCAAUCAAUAAUUGAUUUGAUUAAAUCAAGAUUAUAGAACAAAGGAUUAUGUUUGAAAUAAAAUAAAUAACUGCAACACUUAAUUCACACUUGUUAGGACUCUAUGCUUUGUUCCUGGUGCCCUGACAAGUUGUGCAUGGUUGUUUCAUUGUUUUUUAUCUUCAUAUAUAUAUACUUCUACAUUGCUAACUGUCUGUUUUUUCUUCCUUUCCAUAUUGUACCAUAUUUGGCACUUCUACUGUCUUUAGCAGUUCAUUGUUCUAGGAGGAGUUGGAUCUUCGGUGUCCUGACAUAGAUAUAAAUAACUCGACAAUGAGAAGACAUAGAUCAUCAAGUUUGGAGGAAGAAGAAU
rnacentral:misc_RNA from 1 species